GAUGAACGCUAGCGGCAGGCUUAACACAUGCAAGUCGAGGGGUAUAGAAAGCUUGCUUUCUAGAGACCGGCAAACGGGUGCGGAACACGUACACAACCUACCUUUAUCAGGGGGAUAGCCUUCGGAAACGGAGAUUAAUACCCCAUAGUAUUAUGGAGUGGCAUCAUUUUAUAAUUAAAGAAUUUCGGAUAGAGAUGGGUGUGCGUAAGAUUAGCUAGUUGGUGAGGUAAAGGCUCACCAAGGCAACGAUCUUUAGCUGAUGUGAGAGCAUGAUCAGCCACACGGGCACUGAGACACGGGCCCGACUCCUACGGGAGGCAGCAGUGAGGAAUAUUGGUCAAUGGACGGAAGUCUGAACCAGCCAUGCCGCGUGAAGGAUGAAGGCGUUCUGCGUUGUAAACUUCUUUUAUUUAGGAAGAAACCACUUUUUUUUAAGAGUGUUGACGGUAUUAAAUGAAUAAGCACCGGCUAACUCCGUGCCAGCAGCCGCGGUAACAC
rnacentral:rRNA from 1 species